UACGUAGGUGACGAGCGUUAUCCGGAAUACUGGGCGUAAAGCGCACGCAAGCGGUCUGACAAGUCUGGCGUGAAAUUCUCUGGCUUAACCAGGGGGGGUCGCUGGAAACUGUUGGGCUUGAGGCGAUGAGAGGGGUGCAGAAUUCCCGGUGUAGUGGUGGAAUGCGUAGAGAUCGGGAGGAAUACCAGUGGCGAAAGGCGGCACCCUGGCGUCGUACUGGACGCACAUGUGCGAAAGCGUGGGGAGCGAACGGGGAUUAAGA
rnacentral:rRNA from 1 species